rnacentral:rRNA from 1 species
AACGAACGCUGGCGGCAGGCCUAAUACAUGCAAGUCGAGCGCUCUAGCAAUAGAGAGCGGCGCACGGGUGCGUAACGCGUGGGAAUGUACCUCUAGGUGCGGAACAACGUCGGGAAACUGACGCUAAUACCGCAUAAUAUCUCCGGAUCAAAGAUUUAUCGCCUAGGGAUCAGCCCGCGUUGGAUUAGCUAGUUGGCGGGGUAACGCCCACCAAGGCGACGAUGUCUAGCUGGUCUGAGAGGAUGAUCAGCCACACUGGGACUGAGACACGGCCCAGACUCCUACGGGAGGCAGCAGUAGGGAAUAUUGGACAAUCGGGGGAACCCUGAUCCAGCCAUGCCGCGUGCAGGAAGACGGCCCUAUGGGUUGUAAACUGCUUUUGUACGGGAAGAAACACCCCCUCGUGAGGGGGCGUUGACGGUACCGUAAGAAUAAGGAUCGGCUAACUCCGUG